rnacentral:rRNA from 1 species
AUGCACUGGCUUCGCUGAUUCCUCCUUUCUGAAGAACUGUAAUGUCAUUAAUUUGGUGUUGCAGGGAAACAGGACUGUUACUUUGAAAAAAUUAGAGUGUUUAAAGCAGGCUAACGCUUGAAUACAUUAGCAUGGAAUAAUGAAAUAGGACGCUCGAUCCUAUUUUGUUGGUUUCUAGGAUUGACGUAAUGAUUAAUAGGGAUAGUUGGGGGCAUUAGUAUUCAAUUGUCAGAGGUGAAAUUCUUGGAUUUAUUGAAGACUAACUACUGCGAAAGCAUUUGCCAAGGAUGUUUUCAUUAAUCAAGAACGAAAGUUAGGGGAUCGAAGACGAUCAGAUACCGUCGUAGUCUUAACCAUAAACUAUGCCGACUAGGGAUCGGAUGAUGUUAAUUUUUUAAUGACUCACUCGGCGCCUUACG